CGCCUUUUUUCUUCGUGUCCUCGCGACGGCGGUUACGAGCGAAAACUUCUAGAGCAAUUUAGGUCACCAACAACAGGGAUCAUGUCAUCAAUGGAGCGCGGAGAUCGCCCCCGUGCCCUUCUCUGCUGCCGAAAACACUGUUUGUCUUCAUCUUAAAAGCGAGGAUCGGCACUUGAACUCCGAGCAAUUGAAUGAGGAAAGGAAUACCUUGUAACAGUUUCAACCAACAAUGUAGAAGAGAAAAGGAGACAGGGGGGUAAAGAGGAGGAGAACAUGGAGAGGUACAAGAAGUAAACCUGGAGAGGCAGGAAAUGAGACAAUACAGACUGGAAGGGAAUGUAGGGAAAGAUUGGAAAGGAACAGGGAGACAGGAAGAGAACAGAGACAGGAAUAGGACAGAAAGACAGGAAGGAAACAGAUGGGAAGUGGAGAUAGUAACAGGAAUGGAAAAGAAACAGACAGCAAGGGAGACAUAAAGGGAUCAGGGAGACAAGAAGGGAACAGAGAGAGGAAGGGAAGAGACAGACAGGAAGGCAAUAGAGACAGUGACAGGAGGAAAGCAGAGGGAAAGACUGGAUGGGAAUAGAGACAGGAAUUGAACAGAGAGAAACAGGAAGGGAACAGAGAGGCAGAUAGGAGAAGU